CUUUGCAAUCUCUUUCUAUAUCCAUAGUAGGGUUGUUGUUAUUGUUGUUAGGGUUUGAAGGUGAAAAGGAAGAGGAAGAAGAUGAAGAAGGUUGGUAUUUGUGACGUGCUUCUGAGAGAAGUUUUAUGAGUUUUUCAACACUUUCUAAACCAGAAGCUGCUUCUUGGACAGCAUUUUCUUCUGCUUUGGUAGUGAAAGAUUGGUUUCUGUUGUAGCCUGUCAUGAGCUCCACGGCCAUUGUUGUGGCAACAAGACCAUAGAAGAAGAAGAAGUUGAAGAAGAGGAUGAGAGAGAGAAAAUAAAACGGGUGAGAAUAAAGAGGUAGAAAGAGAGAGGGUGUGUGUUGACAAAGAAAAGAAAAAGGGGUUAUGUUUAUGACUUUAUGUUAUGUAAAUAAAUGUUUUCUUGAAAAAAAAUAUUUGGUCAAGGAAAAUAUAUUAGUCAAAAACAAUCUUAAAUUUCUUAAUUUUAUUUUCAAAAUCUUAAUUUUCUUGAUUUUAUUUUCAAAAAGAAUUUUAGUCAAAAAGAAAAUGUUCCUAGUAACAAGUGUUCUUAAAUUUACUCUUUAUUUAUUACAUUCAUCUAUUAUCAUUUAAGAAAGAAAUAAACAUAAUAUGAACUAAAGAGAUUCGCUAAUUAAAAUGAAUUUCAUUGAUAUCGUAUCACCAGUUUAUCUCUAUUCAUUUUUGUUAAAGUAAUUUGUUUGGUCUAAAAUAUUUGCUCUGUCUUACUAUAAAAGUUUUAUUUGUAAAAAUAUUUUGUCUUAAAAUGAAUUAUUCUUAGCGAGAUUUGUUAUGACUCUAUGUUAUGUAAAUAAAUGUUUUCUUAAUAAUUUUUUAAAAAGAAUUUUAGUCAAAAAGAAAUUCUAACUAGUACUAAUGUAUUCUAAAGUAGUCUUAGCUAUAUUCCUCUAGUGAAAAAGAUAGAUAUAAUGGGGAAAUUAGUGACACCAUUAUAGAGAUUCAAUAAUCAAAAUGGAUUUUACUAAAUGAUAUUAUCUCUUUUAUGAAUGAAUGGUAGAUAAAUAGAAUAAAUCUCACUUGUCAACAAAAAUAAAAUAGAAUAAAUCUCAAUUCAUGUUAAAGUAGCUUGUUUUAUCUAAAAUAUUUGCUUCGUCCUAUUAUGAAUGAUAUAUUUGCAAAAAGGUUUGUCUUAAAAUGCAUCAUCAUUUUAAUUUUUAAUAUGAUAUUAAUUACUUGAUUUAAGCGCAAAUUUUGUCCUCUUAUUUUGACUAUUUUGUGGAUUUUAUCAUUUUAUUUUAAAAUCCUAGCGUUUUGGUCAUUUACCGUAUUUUUGAACUAAAAUAUUGAUAAUGUUGUGAUAUAAUUUAAAUGGAACGGUAUGAUAUGAUGAUGAGAAAAUAUCAAUCGAUGAAAUUGUAAGAAAAUCUUUUUAAAACUUCAUUUAAAGUGAAUCAUUUUUUUUUAAAAAGGAUUUAAAAUGAGUAAUAUUACCGUAAUUUAGACAAAAUAUUUGAAGGAGAUAUCAUAACUAUUAAGUUUUAAAAUAAGAAGAUUAGUGUCACAAAACGGUGAAAAUAUGGAGACUAAAAUUAUAAUUCAACCUAAUUAUUUUUUAAUUAUAAUAUUUAAUUAAUAUUAUUUUUAUCACUUUGAUAUUUGUAUCUUUCACUUUUGAUUGAUGGUAAUGAUUAAUUCAUAGGUACUUGAUCAAUGUACUCUUCCGUUCCGGAUUAAUUGAGUCAUUUGCUUAUUUCACACAUAUUAAAAAAAAUGUAUAAGUGAAUGAGAGAGAAAAUGAUUUUAAGUGCUCUUGUUAAGCACUAUUCGUGCAUUCUUUACUAUCAUAAAUGUAAAAUGGAAUAUAUUAAAUUGAGAGUGAUGAAAGUAUUAUUAAUUAAAGUUAUAAAGGGAAAAAAUAAUUAAUUAGAGUAUUGUAUUAAUAAGUGAAAUGACUCAAUUAUUUUAGUAUAUUUUUUUUUACAAAUGACUCAGUUAUUAUGGGAUGGAGGGAGUAAUUUAGUAAGAGAAAUAUCCUAUCAAUUUCAUUUCUACACUUAUUUACUCUAUGAAAUGUUUAAACGAGUCACUUUUUAUGGAAUAGUUGGACUUAGGAGUGGAAAUAAGUCAGAUCGUUCGUUAAGGGCCUAUGACUUAGCCUAACUAAACCCUAAUUCGGUCUAACUUAUUUAUUAAAUCUGUCAUGUUCAAUUUUUUUAAAAAACUUAUUAAUCUAAGAUAGGCUUGACUAAUGCUUACAAAAGCCUACUAUGCCAGCUAGAUCGAUCCAUAUAUGUUUAUCUAUGUAUACUCCGCUAUAUUGAUAAAUUGUUUCUUCUUUCAAAUUUUCAAUACCGCAAUUUAUUUAUUUAUUUACUUGCAUUUUUUGUUGUUUGAAAUUUUUCCAAUGACUUACGAAACUCUUGGUAUUACUCUCUUAUUUCAAUCCAACAAGUAUACAUAAUUUUGGGUAUCAAGCUCUUAAUCUCUUCUUGUUGUCAUUCUCAUCUUAUUCUAGAUUACAAAGUAAGAAACUCUAUUGGCAACAAAAAUAAAAGGUGAUAGGUCAAAUUUAUGCAAUACACACUUAUGUAUGUACAAGCUCUACAAAAUUUUAAUUGUCACAAAAAUUGUCAUCUAAAUGGAUAUUCAAAUAACACAACUCUAUUGGAUAUGCAUGCAACAUAUGCUUAUAAAAUGGGGGAAAAUGGAUGUACAUACUUUACAAAAUUUUAUCAACAUAUCAGUCUUUUACAAAAUAUUUAUUAGACUUUUAGACAAGUUAAAUAGGUGAGCUUUUAAAAUGUUAGGUCAGACUUAAGAUAAAGUCUUUGACAAGUUAAUAUGGACUUAUACUUUAUUUUUUUUUAACUAGACCUGACCUAUUUAAGUGAAGGUCGAUCUGACCCGGCCUAUUCUCACCCCUAAUUGGAGUAAGAGUUUUUUAAAAAAAUUGUGCAUAUAGCAUAUUGAAAAUUGAUAAAAAAAAAAAAAAAAUGAAAAUUUGGUCACUAUAAAAAAUAAAAAUAGAUGUUAUAUUCUAUGUAGCAUAAAAAAUAGAGUUGCGUACUUGCGUUAUUUUGAUACAUAAUCUUCACAUUGCACUGGAUCGCGGCUUGUACUGGUGGACAUGGCAUCAUCAUAAUUUUAUGUGUCAUAAACAAUGAAAUUUGGUCACUUAAUCGUCUCUCUUUCAAUAUUUAGAGUAUGGUAGAGAAUUCCAAAAUUUGUUUUUCCGUUAAUUCCAAUGCAAUGCUAGGUGAUAGAAAUGUUAAGUGGAACAAUAGUAAUUAACCAUUUUUACAUCAUUCUUAAGUAAAUGUUAACAUUUGUCUUUACGACGACAUAUGUUAAUGAAGUUAACAUAGCAAUAUUUUUUUUUUUAAGAAUUAACAUAGCAAUAUUCAUUUUAAAAAUUUUACAUUCAUCUUUUAAAAGUUAAACAAUAAUUUUUCAGCGUAUCAUUGUCACUUCGUUAAUAUUGUAUGCUUUUAAAUAAAGUUUCAAAUAAAUCUUUAGAGGUAAAUGUUAAUUUGUGCCUUUAAGAGCAGAUGUUAAGGAACCCAUUAUAAAAAUAUACGCAUAAAAAGUUGUGCAUUCAACUUCUUAAAAAUUAAAAUGUUACUCCCUCUGUCCUGCAAUAGACGACUCAUUUGAAAAUACUUCCUCCGUCCCUUAAUAGAUGACCUAGUUGACAAUAUACAUUAUUGACUUGACAUACUUUGAUCCUACUUUUCUACUAAUUCACAAAGAUAAAUAAUAUCAUGUAAGAUGUUGUUGAAUUCGUCUCGAUGAAUAUUUUUAAAAUAUUAAAUUUUUAUAAUUUUUUUAGUAGAGAAUUGAAGAUAUCAAAGAUAAAAUAUAUGUAUUGGUACAUGUGUCAGAGUCAACUAGAUCAUCUAUUGAGGGACGAGGGAGUAUGUAAUUUUGACCUAAUUUAUUUUGACAAUAUUUUUCUACUAAUAUACAAAGAUAAAUAAUAUCAUAUAAGAUGUCGUUAGAUUUGCGUCGAUGAAUAUUUUCAAAAUAUCAAAUUUUUAUAAUUUUUUCUAAUAUAUUAUUCAAGAUAUUUAAAUUCAAAAUUAUGCAUUGACAUGCGUAAUAAGAUCAAUUGUGUCAAGUAUUAAGGGACGGAGAGGGAACAUGUUUUUCAAUAGUACAAAGUUGUUGUUUUUUCUCUAACAUGUGCCCUUAGGACACUAGUUGACAUGACCCAUUUUAAAAGAGUAAAAAAAUCUAUUAAAAAUUUAAAAAAUUAAUGAUAAUUUUGUCAAAUUUAAAUGAUUAAAAGAAGUAUUUAGCCAAAAGAAAAAGGACAUGAUUGUAUGAUGGAAUAGCCGUUUAGGGUGCCCUGGUCAAAAUGGUGGCAUAAGAUUCGGCUGAUUUGGUCCACUAGAUGACUGGACUGUCACGUUAGCCUCCUUACCCGUUACCGUCAAACAUAGGUGCAAAUGAAUGAGAUCUAAUCUAAUCUAAUCUAGUACUGUAACAAACAAGAGUACAAUGGUCACAUUACAUACUUGCACUGUGAACAGAGAAAAUACUUUUUUAUUACAACUUUUAUUUUAUUUUAUUCAUUUAUUGUUGUGUUUCUGAGUGGAGGACGUUGACCUUUUCUUAAAUAUAGUGGGUCCAUAUGAGUGAGGUUAUAAUAGUUUGUGAUGAGAUUGGAAAUAGGGGAAUGAUGAAGAAGGGGCAAUGAUGUGUGAAACGGCAAGAGGAUGGGUUUGGUUUUGUUUUGCCAGCAUAUGCAAUGUUGACUUGGAUUGACACCAUAAGAAUUUUUCAAUGGAUUGUUAUCAUUGCUUCGUGUUUUUCCCGUGUUUCCUUCCCUUUUUUUUUUGCUCAUAGAUUGGUUUAUCGACUAAAGUGUUCAACACGUCUUUUAUUUACCUAGAGGGUCAUGGUAGUAAAUGUUAUAAGGAUUGUUAAAAAAACAGUAAAAAUAAUAAGGGUUAAAUAUGUUUUUAGUCCCUAUAAAUAUAUCAACUUUUCGUUUUAGUUCCUCUCAAAUUUUCCUUCAACUUUUAGUCCCUAUAAAAUUUUCAAUCACUACUUAUAGUCCCUAUUUUUAAGUUAAUUUUAGUAUUUUUUAAUGAAAUUGUGUAGAAUAUUGUAAAAAUAUUUCCCAAAAAAAAUUAGAAUUUUUUAACAAAACAUAAAUUUAAUAUGAAUUUUUAACCAUAAAAAAUAUAAAAAUUCAUAUUAAAUUCAUGUUUUGUUGAAAAAUUCUAAAUUUUUUUAGGAGAGAUUCUUAUAAUAUUAUGAAUUUUUCUGCAAACUUUUAUUCAAAAAUGUGAAUUCUACAUAUAAGUUUACUUUAAAAAUGGACCAAAAGUGAAGAUGGAAAAUUUUUGGAGGACUAAAAGUUGAAGGAAAAUUUUAGAGGGACUAAAAUGAAAAGUUGGUAUAUUUAUAGGGACCAAAAACAUAUUUAACCCAAAUAAUAAUUGAUGAGUUUAAUCAAAUUAAAAGUUAAUUUUAAAGUUUUAAUAUAAUGAAUGUAGAUAUAAAGUAUUUGGAAAAUGAUAUUAUGUGACCUUAGGGCACAUGUUAAAAAAUUUAAAAAAGAAACAAUUGUCUUAAAAAUUGUGCAUUCAACUUUAUUCAAUUUUUAAAAAUCAAAAUUUUGUUGUUUUCUAUAAAAAGUUUCUAAUUUUGAAUUUCUUAACUUGUGCCCUUGCCCUAAGGGCACAAGAUAACAAGACCCAAAGUUUUUUUUUCAUAAAUCGGGUAUCGUCAUGCGCACAAGUGCGAAAACUAAUCACUCGAGCCUUGUGAGACCUAAAUGGUGACAAACUCUUCCUAAGACUUUUAACGUUGUUGCAUGUUCAAGUCCGGAUCCGACGCUAGGACCUUGGUUAACCUGGAAGGGACCUUCACCAUCUCAUUUAAGCUCUAUUAAGUAGAUAUAAAGUUUUUGUAUUGAACUUUUUAUCAAUUACUCAAAAUGAACUUGUUAACGUUUUCCUUAUUUAAAAGAUGUUUGAAAGAGGAGUAUCAAAUGUCUUUAAUUUAAUGGUUUUGUUAACAAGUGAUUUAAGGACGUUGUUUAAGAAAUACACAAAAUUAAUUGGGAAAUGUUAACCAGUGCCCCGAAGACACUAGUUAAGAAGCAAAUAUAAUAUGUACUGUGUUGAAAAUUCUGUUGUCAAUCCCUUAAAAGUAAACAACGUGUAUUUUUUAAUUUAAAACUUUUUUUUUUAUUUCCUUAACCAGAGUACCGGGGCACCGGUUAACAUGACACAAAUUAAUUUUUGUUUUGAAAAUAGGUUGACCACCUUACGUGACAAUAACUCCCUUAUACACCCUUAGGUGGCAUAAUUUAAUUUAAAAUAAUACAUAUUCAAUUCUCUCUCCAUCCGUGAUGAUUAAGAUACCUCUCUCUCUCUUAGAUCGUUGUUGUUGAAAGGCUACCAUCAAACAUGUCGUAGAUCCUAUUUUAUAUACAUGCUUAUAUUUUUAUUCGUACUAAAGUAUGAUUAUGAUCUUAAUCUUUAUAGAGCACAUCUUGUAUUGACAAGUUAAUAAAAUAAUAAAUGAGGGAACGGAUCAUUCAACAUAAUGAGAGGAAGAUAAGAAAAAAUUAACAUUUAACGGAAUUGAUCAUUCAACAUAAAUGAGGAAACCCAACCUGUUGUUCUGGUAUAUCUCUAGGAUGACCGAGUAGUAGCUCUCGAACUUGAGUGAUCGGAAGUUAUGCACUAAACCGUUCGUGAGUUACAAACUUGAGGGAUAUUUUGGUUAGUUUGAGGUCCCGUGAGCAAUUCAAGGGGUCUAUUAAGAAAUUCCCAUGAUAAAAUGGAAUUUAGCCCAUCAUUAUUAGUAAUUAGGCCUUGUCACCCAUAAAUGAUAAAAGUUAUAAACUUACCCCAGAAUAACAUUGCUACCCUACAUUUUUACAAGUAUCCCACCUCGUUUGUAUAUAAUUUUUUCUGCUACUUAAUCCAAUCACACAUUAAACACUCCACAUAACACACGGUUUAAAAUCUGCAUUUUACCAAAACAAAAACAAAAACAAAAACACAUUUACAGUUUAUCUUUUCUUAAAAUGUAGGUUGUAAACAAAUAUGUUUAUUUAAAUUAUUUUAUCUUUUCUCAAAGUGCAUAUUGUAAACAAAUAUAUUUACAUUUUUCAUCCCUAAAAAAAAAAAAGCUUAAAUAUGAUUUUCGUCCCUGUAAUUUGGACCAGUUUUGAUUUUCGUUCCUGUAAAAAAAAAAACUUCGAAAAAUAUCCCUAUAAAUUUUUUUUGUUUGAAAAUGGUCUUUGACCCCACUUCCGAUCUGAUUUGGCAUUGUUUUUGCCACGUGGCAAUUGCUGACUGUGCAACUUUUACCACGUGGCAUGCCACAUAAUUAAUUUUUUUUUCAAAAUUUUGAAAAUUCUAUUUUUAAAUUAAAAAAAUCUGAAAAAAUUUAAAAAUCAUAAAAAAAUUCUGAAAAAAAAAACUUUUAAAAUUAAAAUUUUUGAAAAAAAAAGUGAAAAUUAAAUUUUCGAAAAUUAAUUCUUUUUUUUUAAUUUGAAUAUUAUAUAUUACAUUUUUUUUCGAAAAUACUGAAAAUUAUAUUUUCAAAAGUUAUAAAUUUUGAGAUUAUAUAAUUUUUAUUUUAUUUUUCUUCAUAUUUUAAUUUUCAAACAUUUAUUUCCAUAUGUAAAGAAAAAAGUAAUUUCCAUUUUUUUCUUCAUAUUUAAAAAAAUAUUGGAAUUUUUUUAUGAUUUUUUUUUCAGUUUUUUUUUAUUUUAAAAAAUAAUUUUUAAAUUUUUAAUGGCAUGGACUGCCACGUGGCCAAAACCAUACCAUGUCAGCAAAAAAGUGGGGCCAUUGACCUUUUUCAAACAAUUUUUUUUUACAGGGAUGUUUUUUAAAGUUUUUUUUUAUAGAGACGAAAAUCAAAACUAACCCAAAUUACAUGGACGAAAAUCAUAUUUAAGCCAAAAAAAUAUAGCUACAAUUUUUAAAAUUUUGUAGGCGCAUGCACAAAUCCUUUAAAUCUUGCACGGUACACCAUUCUUCUCUAUCAUAAGAUCAAUUACUUAAAUCUACCAAGGGUUUGAAAAAUUUACACGUUUGAGUUAAAAGUUAAAUGAGUUGACACAGUUAAAAGACUCUGAUUCAACUAUAAUAAAAUAGAAAAUACUAACAUAAUAACUAAAACUUUAUUCAGGAAAUAGAAUAUAAAUUAAGGUCAUGUUAACUUGUGUCUAGGGGUGGGCAAAAAUAUCCAAAAACUGAACUAAACCGAUUAACCAAAAUGAACCAAACUAAAAUUAACCGAACCAUUACAUUGGUUAUUGAACUGAACCAUUAUUUUAAAAACAGUUCAUUAACUGAACCGAACGGUUAACCGAACCAAACCAAACUUAAUUAACUGAACCGAACCAUUACAUCUCAAUCAACCCAAACCAUUGUUGAACAAAUUGAACCAAAAUCUCCACUUUUCCCCUUCUCAUUUCUUACUGUCGCGAAAUUCACCCAAAACCACCAUGGUAGAAGAAACUCCAUCUGCAUCUGAGACUUCCGUCACAAUGCCUCAUGUAACGCCCUAGUUGUUAUAUUUAAUUAUUUUAAUUUAUGUGGAGUAUAUAUAUAUAUAUAUAUAUAUAUAUAUAUAUUUGUAUAUAUGUGUGAUUUUUGGGUGAUUUAUGUGGUGUAUUAGUUUAUAAUAUGAUUUAUUUAAUAAUAAUUAGAAUAAGUAGGAAAUAAUGAUUAUUUUGGAGUUUGGGAAAUAUUAGGAGUUAUUAGAAUUUAUGGGGAGUUAAGUGUAAUUAGAAGGGAGUUACUUUUGAAGUGGGAAGUUAGGAAAUAGAAGUUAGAAAUUAUUGUACGUGAGAAACUGUUUUACGUGAAACCAAGCCAAGGGAGAGGAAACCAGGAACAAGGGAGAAGAACCAAGAGAAUUCUUUUGCUGUGCAUUUUUCAAUUCUAAACUAAGGUAAGGGUGAGGUUUACUUCAAUAGUGUAGACUUUAGAUUCUGAUUUUGAGUUUAACAGGUUUUGGUGAAAAUUGGGGAUUUUGGGUUUUAUGUUGAAAUUGUGGAUUUUGGAGUUGUGAGUGUGAAUUUGAUGUUAGAAAUAGGUUCUAAGUACAUACAAAAAGUUAAUUUGUAUCUGUAAACUGAUUUGGGGAGUGAUUGGAAGAAAAAUGGGAUUUUGGGGAAAAACCAGUUUUCUGCCCGUACUGAUGUUCAUCGCUCGCCUCGCGAGUGAACAACAUCAUCAUUCGCCUCGCGAGCAGUCCAACUCGCCAUGGCGAGUAGCCAGAUAAAAUUGUGAUUUUUGAAAAGUUGUUAUAAGAUGUUUUGGGGAUGAUUUAAGGUACCUAGAUGAUAAUAAAGAUGAAUGGUGGAAGUUUUAGGUUAAAAAGAUGAAGAGGGAAUUUAGAAAUGGGAUUUGAGUGAGAAAAUGGCAUUUUUCCCGAGAGCACCUGAUUUCCACUCGCCUUGAGUUCGCCUUGAACUCGCCACGGCGAGCUAGUGUUUUUGUGAACUCGCCAUGGCGAGCAGAUGUGCUCGCGAGGCGAGCUGCACAGUUCCUGAGAGUUGUUUAACUAGCUUGAAUAGUGGUGGUUGAAUGUUGUUGUAUUUGGGCAUGGUUAUAUAUAAUUAUGCAUUAUUUUUGGUUGUUUGAAUUGCUGGAUCGAUGAUUAUUGAUGAUGGUUGAAUGUAUGUUAUUUAGUGAAUCAUACAUAUUAUUAUGGUGGAGUCACAUGGAGUUGCAUUGCAUGGUCAGUUGUAUGUAGAUAUACACAAGUAGGUCCAUUGCAUAUGCAUAAAACAGCGGUGAGGGCUUCGGUCCUGGAGUACUAGUUGCUCAACAGCGGUGAGGGCUUCGGUCCUGAUGAAUGCUUUAACCAUUCAAAAGCGGUGAGGGCUUCGGUCCUGUUGGUACCACAUGCAUAAUUCAUUUCAUUAAGAAGUCUAAGAUUGUGUCUUAGCAGUUGUCAUGUCAUGUGCAUGAGUCUUAGUUGUUGAUUUCAUUUAUUACCUGAUGGAUGAUGUUGGUGUUGAAUAUGCAUUUAUAUAUAUUCAUUGUGAUCAUGGUGAAUUGUUGAUGUUUGUUGUUGCUUGUGACUUAUACAUAUAUAUGUUUACAAGAUUUUGUGUUGUUGAUUAGGGUGUUAGAUUCAAUUGAUGAUUUUAAUAUCUAUAUUUAUUGUUGUGAAUCUCACCCCUUCUGCUUGAAAAUGUUGCCCUUCCUAUGGGUAACUUGCAGGUGAUCCUGAGUAGUUGGUGGUGGCUCAAGAGUCGUGUCUAGGGCUCUGAUAUGUGGGAUGGGAACUGUCAUUUAUAUUAUUGUUGUUUUUCCUUUCCAUGUAUCAAAUUUUGGAACUUGUUGAUGUGGCCCUUUGCUGGUCGACUUAUUGUUGUUUAGGCCUUUAAUGCCGCAGACUGUUGUUGAAUUGAAAACUAAUCCGCUGCUAUGUUUUCAUAUUAUAUCGAGUGGUUUGAUUUAAAUAGUUUUAUCUUCUAUUUAAGAACUUUUGAAAUUGCAAUGUAGCAUACCCGUUUUAUGAAUUACUCUGAUGAUUAUUUGUUAUUUAUUUACUUAUGGGUAACGGGGUGUUACACCUCAACUAACCGAACAUGUCACACUCGUCGACGGAACCCUAAACCUCGACAAAAACAGAACAACCAUCAACGUCGCCGCGGAAGCCGCCGCAACUUCUGCUCCGACGUCCAACAACGACGGGUAGAAGUCUCUGGACAUGGCUGAUGAGCUGAUGGGAGAGGGAAACAAAGCUAUGAAAGAGAACGAUUUUGGUGAAUCAGAUGAUAACUAUAGUCGUGCUCUUGAGAUCUGGUUCAAUUCGUGGAGCUACUUCUCUUUGAUUCGUUUUUCCGUUAUUUCAUUGUAGAUUAUUCUAUCGAUUUUGAUUGCUUAAUUGCUCAUACAUGUUGAAUUUGAUCUUUCGGUCCGGAUCAAUUAUUAAGUUACGAAACGGUUAACCGAACGAUAACUUUGAUUCAGUUCAAUUCGUUUCAAAUCUUAAACGGUUCAGUUCGGUUAUUCCGAAUCAUUUCAAUACUUCGGUUCGGUUCAGUUAAUAUGGUUAACCGAACCACACCCACCCCUACUUGUGUCUUAAGGAAAAUGUUAAGGAUUUUAUAAAUGAUAAAUAUUUAUUACAAAACAUUAAUUUUCAAUCUCUAGAAAAAUAAAUUGCACAAGACAAAAUUUUCACUUCGAAUUCCUUAACAUGUGCCAAGUUACCAUUUCACUAUAAAUUAAAUCCUUGAUUAUAAGUAGAGUAAAUAGUCAUUUUAUUCCUGACUUUGCACCUCGCUGUCACUUCAGUCGCCGAUUGAGGAUAAAAUACAAUAAAGUGCCUGAAUGUGUACAUCUGUUAUCAGUUUAGUCCUUACCGUUAAUAACUACCGUUAAAUGAUGAUAUGUCAAUAAUAGGGGCCAAAUUGAAAGUAAAAAAAAUAAAAAAUUAUUUUUAUUAAUGAUAAAAGAAAUAAGAAUAAGAAUAUUCAUCAUCUCCAUCUCUAUCUUCAUUUUUACCCAAAAGAACAACAUCUUCAUUAAUAAACCCAAAAGAACAACAUAAUCUAAAAGCAGUUUUAAGAUUACUCUAAAGCAGCUUAAUUUUGAAUUAAAAAUAACUGCAGAGCAGAAAUGAGAUUGCAUCAGUAACAAAUAUCUUUUUAUCAACCUGCUGCUCAUACCAUAUGGAAAUGCAUCACUGUUCAUCAAGUGAUUAAUAUUGUUCAAAAUGACUUAGUUGUGAUUGAAAACCAUAAUAACAUAAUGACGUGUGAUGAUUAACUUAACAGGCGUUUCAUCUUUAAACCCAAAAGAACAACAUCUUCAUGAAGAUGGAGAUGAAGAUGAUUUUUUUUUUUAAACAAAAGGAAUUAUAUUAAAUUUUUUUUUCAAGGUUACAUAAAUGUCUGAUGGACUCGAGAACAUUUUCCAUCCAAGUCAUGUUGGACUCGGCAUCUAAAAAGCCCUCAGUUUUCCAAGUAGCAGCUACUAAAACGAGACCCUGUGAAUCUCUGGCCACCGUGCCUAUAGCCCCCAAACGCAUUCUAGCAUCAGUGUUAAUCUUAAUAACACCCUCGUCCGGUCUUCUCCAUUUAACGUUACUGUUGUUGUUAUUUUUCUAUUAGCAUCAAAUCGAUUAUUUUGAGAUUGACACUGAGCUUCAUCAGCGUGCGUCGUUUGCCCGGUGAUAGUCAAGGACACAGCUUGCAGUGCGCUGGAUUAUGAGUUCUGCAGGUAUUAUGGUGAUGAAGAUGAUGAAUAUUUUAUUUUUUUUUGUAUUUUUUUUAUCAUAAAUAAAAAAAAUAUUUUUUUUCUUUCUUUCUCAUAAUAAAAAAAAGUUCACUUUCAAUUUGGUCCUUAGGAUUGACACAUCACCAUGUAACAGAGUUUUUAACGGUAAAAACUAAACUGAUAACAGAGAUACACGUUCAGGAACUUUAUUGUAUUUUAUUCAGAGUCGGAGACUAAAGUGACAGCGAGAUGUAAAAUCAGGAACUAAAGUGAUUAUUUACUCUUAUAAGUAUUUAUUUAACAAAUAUUGCUCACUUUGGUAUUAAAUAUAGAUAAAAAGUCAAAAGUAUUUGGUCUAAAUUUAGAUAAAAUACAUUUGAUUUUUUAGUUAUAUAUAUAUGAGAAAGUGAUAGAGAAUCAUCUUAAGAAAGUUAGUAAAUAUAGCAACAAAAAAUUAGAUUAGUUAUUGACAAUUUUAAAAUUUUGCUUAAACAAAUGUAACUUUAUGCCUCAAAUUACCGGGUCACGCAAGUAUUUGAUGUGUAAAAUGUGUACGUAUUGUAAAAUAUGGAGUACUUUUUCUUCUGCAUUCAUAACAUGAAAUAAAACCGUUUGAGAGAAGGCACCCAUGAAUUUGGAUCUCUAUAUUCCCUAAAAAAACACACAAUUAUAUCUAAAAAUAUCAAUCUUUAAAAAAAAAAAUAAAAAAAUAGGGUUAAUAUGUUUUUGGUCCUUAUAAAUAUACCAACUUUUUGUUUUGGUCCCUCUAAAAUUCUCCUUCAACUUUUAGUCCCUAUAAAAUUUUCAAUCACUAUUUUUGGUCCCUCUUAUAAAGUAAAAUUAUAGGGUUAAUUAAGUUUUUGGUCCCUAUAAAUAUCUGCAAUUUUGUUUUUAGUCCCUAUAAAAAUAAAUCACACUUUUUAGUCCCUACAAAAUUUUCCGUUAGUGUUUUUAGUCCCUGUUAAAUAAAAAUUCGUUUAAUUAUGCUUAAAAUUUUAGACUUUUUAAUGAUUUUUUACAUACUUAUUUAAAACAUUAUAAAACGUUCCGCCACAAUAAAUUAGCUCAAAAUUUUAUUUUUAGUUCUAAAUUUUCGUUAGUUUUAUCUUGAAUUUUUGGCGUUUUAAAAAAUUCAUAUAUAAUUCAUUACAUGUUAAAAAAUUCUAAUUUUUUAUAAAAGAGAUUAUUAUAAUGUUCUUAACAUGUCUGUUAAAAAUCAUUUAAAAAUAUAAAAUUUUAAGUAUAAUUAAACAAAUUUCAAUUUAACAGGGACCAACACAUACUUUUAGUCCUUGUAAAAUUAAAAUUUGCUUAAUUGUGCUUAAACUUUUAAAUUUGUAACAUAUUUUUCACAUACUUACUUAGAAUAUUAUACAAAGUUCCUCCGCAAAAAAGUAACUUAAAAUUUUAUUAUUAGGUCCAAAUUUUCAUUAAUAUAAUCUUGAAAAUUUGGCUUUUAGAAAAAUUCAUAUUUAAUUCAUUACAUGUUAAAAAACUAAAAAAAUUUACAAAAGAGUGUCUUACGAUGUUAUGAACAUGUAUGUAAAAAAUCUUUCAAAAAUUUAGAAGUUUAAGCAUAAUUAAACAAAUUUUAAUUUAACAGGGACUAAAAACACUAACAGAAAAUUUUGUAGGGACUAAAAAGUGUGAUUUAUUUUUAUAGGGACUAAAAACAAAACUGCAUAUAUUUAUAGGGACCAAAAACUUAAUUAACCCAAAAUUAUAUGUAGAAUUCCUAUUUUUGAAUAAAAAUUUGCAGAAAAAUUUAUAAUAUUAUAAAAAUCUCUUCCUAAAAAAAUUAGAAUUUUUAAUAAAACAUGAAUUUAAUAUGAAUUUUUACGAAUUCAUAUUAAAUUUGUGUUUUGUUACAAAAUUCUAACUUUUUUUUUUUUUUUAUAAUAUUCUAUACAUUUCUGCACAAUUUCAUUAAAAAAUACAAAAAAUAACUUAAAAAUAGGGGCUAAAAGUAGCGACUGAAAAUUUUAUAAGGACUAAAAGUUGAAGAAAAAUUUUAGAGAGUUUAAAACGAAAAGUUGGUAUAUUUAUAGGGACCAAAAACAUUUUUAAUCCAAAAAAAUAUAAUAAAAACAUCUUAAAGUUUGCAAAAGAUUUUAUACACUCCUAUUGGUUGACCUUAAAAAAUGUAGUACUAUAAGCAUUUUAAUUUUUCUUCAACUUAGCAGUUAUAGAUCUCCCUUUCUACUAUCAAAUAGAUUUUGCACACAACUAACUUCGUCAAUUUCGCAUUUAACACUAAUAACGAUAAUUCCAAUUAUCCACAAAAAAUAAUGAUAAUUAAUUAAUUAAUUAGUUAUCACAUCCUUCAUUAAUUAUGUUCUAGGGUCAAAUCUUCUAGACCAAAAGAAGAAACGAAACGCUAAACGUUAAUUAAACAUUUAAAUUUAAACUAAACUAUAGCAUCAUCAUCACCAUCUUCAUCAUAAACUAUAGCAACUAAAUACAUAAACGAGUUCAAUUUUCUCUCUCUUUGAGUGAAUGAAAGAGAAACAGUAUGAAACUCUCAACAUUGUUACAGAACCGCCGGAGCAACAGCAUCAAAGAACAGCCGUUAUUUGAAUCCUCCGGCGACGUCACCGGAAAAUCUCCGUUAAGCUCUUUCUGGCUCUUCCUCCAUGCCGCGUUCUGCCUCAUCAGCCUCGCCUUAGGAUUUCGUCUCUCCCGCAUCUUCUUCCUGCUCCUUUUCUCAACUUUCUCCACCGUUCCGUUCAACUCCGGCGCCGGCGAAGGUGAAAUCUCCGUUCCAAUCCGUGUUCGUUCUUCUCUCACGGUGAAUCCGAUCGAGAACAUUGAGAAUCCAGUGGAAAAAGUAGCUCCGGUCAGCCGUGUGGUAGUCGGCCGGCACGGGAUCCGAAUCCGGCCGUGGCCGCAUCCGAAUCCGAAUGAGGUGAUGAAAGCUCAUAAGAUAAUUGAAAGAGUUCAAACGGAGCAGAAAGCGUUGUUUGGAGUGAAGAACCCUAGGACGGUUAUUGCAGUUACGCCGACGUAUGUGAGGACGUUCCAGAAGCUCCACUUGAUCGGUGUGAUGCAUUCGUUGAUGCUUGUGCCGUAUGAUCUGGUGUGGAUCGUGGUGGAAGCUGGAGGAGUGACGAAUGAGACUGCUUCAAUUGUUGCCAAUUCAGGACUCAGAAGAAUAAUUCACAUUGGGUUUAAUCAACGGAUUCCGAUUUCGUGGGAGGGUAGACAUAAAUUGGAAGCUCGAAUGCGACUUCAUGCUUUAAGGUAUAUUCCAAUUUUGGAGAUAUUGGUUGACUUUUUUCACUACUUUGCGGAUAAGGAAUAAUAUUGUUCCUUGUUAUCUCUGUAGUAUCGACAUUUCUGAUCAAGGACGUGUCUAGUGUCUGAUACAUGUAAGUGUCUUACACCGUGACACGAAACUAACGCAUGUGAUUACGUUUAAUCAUAUCAUUUUCUCGAAUUAUUAUUGGUGUUGACAUGUUAGUGUCGUGCACUCACACUUGUCUAUAUAUAGUUUAGAUGCAUCCGUUAUUCAAUGAAUCUGAAAAUAGAAUAUUUACUUAUAAUAGUGAUCGGAGGGAGUAUGAAGCAUCGACAUAGAGAAUAUAAUAGUGACCCGAGGGAGUAGUUUAUUAUAAUUGACAAAUAGUGUUUAUUUCCGCUGUUAUGAUUUUUUUUUUAAUUUGUCAAUGUGCCUUCCAAUUUCCAUUCCCGGAUCACAGAAGGCAGACUAAUCAACCAGGUCUGGUCUUACUGUAUGAUCUGAAAAUUUAGUUGAUUGAUAGGUAAAACAAUUGAUUGUUUGUAAUCUGGUGGAACAGAAUUGUGAGAAAAGAGAAGCUGGAUGGUAUUGUGAUGUUUGCGGAUGAUAGCAAUAUGCAUAGUAUGGAGUUAUUUGAUGAAAUUCAGAGUGUGAAAUGGAUAGGAGCAGUUUCGGUUGGAAUACUUGUUCAGUCUGAUACCGAUGAAUCUUCAACCUCACUGAAGGAGGAGGUGCCGCCAAUGCCAGUACAAGGUCCUGCUUGUAACGCGACAAAUCAUUUGGUUGGGUUGCAUACAUAUGAUUCCUUAAAAUAUGCAAGGAGAGGUGCAGUUUACAUAGGUGACAGGGCACCUGUGCUACCUAGGAAGCUUGAAUGGUCUGGGUUUGUGUUGAACUCCAGGUUGGUUUGGAAGGAUCUUGAUGAUAAACCAGACUGGAUUAAGGAUAUUAAUGCGUUCGAUGGAGUUGAUGAAGAUAUCGAUAGUCCACUGUCUCUGCUGAAAGACAUCUCUGUGUUAGAACCACUUGGGAGUUGUGGACGCCAAGUUUUGCUUUGGUGGCUGCGGGUUGAAGCUCGCACAGACAGCAAAUUCCCACCUCGGUGAGUAUUCUCUUGAUUUAUAAUAUAGUGCUUACCCAUGUUUGGCUAUUAUAAAAUAUUCUUGAAUCAGUAUAAAAAAAGAAGUAUUUAUAGCUUUUGGUGAUUCCUUUUUAUCAUAUGGAAAUCUGUGUAGCAUUGCAUUUAUUUAAAUUAAAUUGUCCACAAGAUGAAAAGUAGAAAGCAAAUGCCAAUGCAUAAAACUUGGAGUCUCUAACAAUUUAGAUUCUAGAACAUAUUCAAGAGAUUUUAGUAUGCUUGGUAUUGUGGUAAGUCAGAAAAUAUACUAUUUGAUUGGUGUUUCUGCGGAUAACAUGAACCCAUCCGUUUGCUUGCAUAUGCAAAAUCAAGCACCAUGUGAUUUUUAGAUUCUGUGUGUUUAGUUGUGUGUUUGCAAACUUGAAUUUUGAUGAUCUUGAUUUUGUGAAAUUAAUUUUAGUUAAAAGUGAAUUUGAAAUGAGUAAUUUAUGUCUCGGAAGUUCUAUCUCAAAAGUAAGUUUUUUUUGGGAAAGUUUGUAUGAAAUCAUAAACGAAACGCAAAAUCUGUGUUCUCACUUUUAGUCUAAUGUGUUUUUAGGAGAAAAUAAUUUUUGCUUGACAGCAUCCAAACGUCCAAACUCAAUUUAAAACCCACAUUUUACACUCACAAAUGUGGAUUCAAACAUGCACAAGUAGUUCUUUUGAAGCACUUGCUAAUAUCAUCUAGGUCAGAGUGGUUUGGACUAUGCAGGACCUAGCUUACUAAGUGACCUGCUGCCAAAUUGGGUUGAUUUGUUGUAGACAUCAGAUGUUGUUUCAGGUCAAUUAGGGAUGCGAUGUUGUUGACUUAGACAAAUACUCAUAUUUAUAUAUAAAAUUAUUACAUUUUCAGGUCAAUUAGGGAUACAGUCUUGUUUGACUUGGAAAAAUAUUCAAAUUUAUAUAGGAAAUAUCUAUAAUGAAAGAGAGAAACUGAGAGUAUAUUCAGAAGGUUCUAAAAAUGUAUAAAUCUUUCUUUAUGUAAAAGGUUGAUUUAAUUGAAUCUGUGGAAUGAAAUCAAACUUUCAGAAGUCAAAUUUGAUACUCUUAACUCUCCCUCCCUCUCUCCUGUUACUACAUUUCCUUUUAGAGACUGCCCCAAUUGUCUGAAAUCAUUAUGUGUUCUAUAUGGAUACAAUUACUAAUUUGAAGCACAGCUACUAUUUUGAAGUAUCCAUGCUACAAUGGUUGUGCCACAAAUUAGAGUAUUCUGAAGUAAGUGAAUAUCUGAAGUAAAAAAAUAAAUACAAUGAACUGUGAUCCAAAUGCAAAGUAUAGUAUAAAGUAAGUUGUAAGGUUAUUGACAACGAAAAUCUGUCAAAUGCAAUGUUGCAUUUGUGUUAGAACCAAAACUUUUUUAGCAACUUUUCUUUUUAAAAUAUAGUAUGUACACGUUCAUUAAAUUUACGCGGGAUGUCUGCGGGUUGUAAUGAAUAACCAAAUUUACGCGGGAAGUCAACAAACUUGAGAAUAACUGCUGAUGGAUUUGUCCCGCUGAGAAAAGACAGAGUUUUGCUAAAUGACGUGGAUAAGGUUCCUCUUUUUGUGGCGGUAUUUCAAUUUUCUGUUAUGUUUGGUUACAUUAGAGGUUUCUUUCUAUGAUUGAGAAAGGGGUUUGGGAUCAUACUUUUACCAUUAUUAUUUAGAGCAAUCUCAUUAUUUGAAUUAGAUAUUUCUACUAAUAUUACCGAUAAUUUAUAGUAUUUGAAUUAUUAAUUGUCAAUAUGAUACCCAAUCAAAAAAUAAAACAUGAAUCUGUAAUCUAAAUCUAACAACAAUCCACAUUUUACCAUUCAAUUAAAUAGUUUUUAUUCUUAAUUCUUUAAAAUCUACAAAUUAAAUAAUCAUUAAUCAAUUAAAAAGGUUACUUUAUUUAUAUAAAGGAUCUUAUUAACGAGUGCCCCGGGGCACUAUUUAAGCAUUCAAAAGUAAACAAUUAUUUUUUUAAAAAAUCAAAUAUUUCAAUUUCCAAUGCAUUGAAUAGACGCAUUUUGAUAAAUACUUAUCACUCAUGGUCUUUAACUAGUGCCCCGGGGCACUAGUUAACAUUUCCCUUAUAUAAAAGUAUCUUGUUCCCUAGAAAUAUAAAAUCCAAAAAUGUUUGAUGUUAUCAAGCUCGAUUCCUUUUUUUCCCCUUCCUUUCUUUCAUAUGUAUAUUCUCUUUCCCAAAUACUCUAUUUACAUGUUAUUCUUUGACUUACAAUUUUAAAUUUAAUUUGAAUAAAGGAACUAACCUAAGAAUGAAAGAACUAAGAGUACUAACCAUCAAUCAUUUAAGACUAAUUCUUAAUCUUUUGACUUUAGUAUUGAAACCAAUAUUUGUUUGUAAGAUUUACUUGAGGUUUAUAGUUAUGCACAUAAUUUACUUUUGAAACAGAAAUUUCUCAAAUUUAUGCUUGAAUUGUAUUGAAUACAUUUGCAAUCAUACUUGUUACACAUGCAACACACAUGUCAAUAAGCUAGCGAUUAUGUAUACAUGUUCCUAUGAUUUACAAGGGAAGUCUAAGGAUAGUAAUGAAUAACCAAAUACAGUAUAAGUCUCGUACAAAAUUGAGAAUAAUUUUUAUUGGAUUUGUCCACUGAGAAAAAGCAAAAAGUUUGUGUAAAUUUCAUGGAUAAAGUUCCUUUUUUUGCAACUCCUGUUGAGGGUGCAAGGGAGGGUAUUCCAAGGUUGAGAAAGGGGUAUUGGAUUCUAGUUUUAUGAUUAGACAAACUCAGAACUCCUGCUUGUCAGUCCGUAGCUUUUGAAAAAUGUCAUUUGCCCUCCUGCAUUGUUAGAUAUACGACAAACCUCUCUCAGAUCUUGCAUUAAGACUGAUGGCUAAGAUCAAAAGGUGUUAGGAACCCAAGGAAAUGAAAAUGAAAAAUUGAUAGAGAACCAAAAGAAAUGAAUGAUUUUAUUUAAUAUUCGAUAAUAGGAGAAAGAUCUCUCCUUCACAGCUUUUCCCGUCACAACUGAGCUAUAGCUCUGUUUAACUCAUAGCUAACAGAUCUAAAUUCCGUCUCCCUUCUACGGCUCUACCCUUAAUCCGGUUUUAGCUCAAGCAUCCGUCUUUUAACCUCUUUGACUAUGUUCUAGUCCUUACUAUUGAUACUCUACUGUAACGGACUUGUAGCAAACUGUUGAUAUUUGGGAAUUUUUAUCAAAAGGCCUCAUUAAUGACCUAAGUGACCUGCCUAUUUAUUUUCUUGGCUUCGGUUCUUCAUUAAGGAUUUGUUUCACAAGCAUAAUAAGCUAGCCAAUAGCUUAUAUGAAUAUAAGCUCAUAUGACUAAAAAUGACUCGUUUGAUAACUGUCAUUUUCUCACGAGCUUAUAACUUAUUUUUACUAGCUUAUAACGUUUUUUGAUAAGCUAAUUCAAGUAGCUUAAAGCUUGUAGCUUGUCAUUUUCUCUCUCAAGUUUACCCCUGUUAUCUUAAUUGAAAAAAAUAAAAAUAUUAAUGAAAACUUUUAUUUUUUAUUUUUUAUGUCAUUUAAGAUUUAUAAGCUAGUUCAACCACUAAUUUUACCAAACACUACAAAUUCAAUCAGCUAGGUUAUAAGCUAUUAGCUAGCCCCUAUAAGCUUAUCCGCUAUACGCUAGCUUAUCAACUGUCCACUAUUUUUUACUAAACAGAGCUAAGCCAUUUGAUAUUUCUUCUGGCUUCUUAAGUACUCCUCUACCCUCUAAGUCCCUCAGAAACUGAAUUCAUGUCCCAAAUGUUUGGCAUAUAUAUCCCCCUCCUUGCUUAUGUAAAAUGUUCUCUGAAAGUCAAGUUUAUUUCAUCAAAUCAAAGUAGCUUAACAUCAUGGCUUUUCUAAAGCAUUAUAUUUUGAGCUCUUAUUCAUUGUAAAUUGUAAUAUUUGUCCUCCAGCAAAUAUAAUCUGAAUAUGUAUUGUAGCAUGCUUUUCUUUCUUUAAAAAAAAAGAAAGUAUUGUAGCAUGUUUUCUGUGCAUACUCCUGACCAUUGGAUGCAAUUUCUUGCAGAUGGACAAUUGACACUCCUCUGGACAUCACUGUCCCCUCAAAACAUACUCCAUGGCCAGAUGCUCCACCUGUGAUCCCAAUUAAUGAAAAAGUGGUAAUUGGCUCACAAGAACAGACGACCAAACAUUCUACAAAGACUAAAACAUCCAGACCCAGGCGCAGCCGAAGUAAGAGAAAGCAUGACACCAAAGUGAUAGGUGUGCAAGCCUCUACACUUUCUGAGGAACACUGAGAUGUCAAUAAAUGCAACUUUAGGAAUAUAUACUGUGUUAUGGUUACAAAACUGCCAGUUCUGGCCCUCAUUGACAAGAAUCUGGAUUCUGGAUCGAACAAAUGAAGAGGCUGAUUUUCUUACUGGAUACAUACUUGUAAACUGGGUUUUACCCUACAUCAUGUAGGCUACACGGGCCAGCAAAUGUUCAUUUGAGUCUGAUUCACCAAAUUUUUUUGUACUGAUUGUUUUGCUCAUUUUUGUUUAGGGUGAUAUAUAUUCUGUUCACAUGAAGCAAUGUCAUAUUUGUUUUGCAACAUUUGCUUCAUGGAAGGAAGCUUGUAGAAAUUUUCAUCGGCUGUAAUUGUAAUACAAGUUCUUCUCAAUAGGAGUAUAUAGUUUUUUUUUAGUUAUUUUUUCUUUUCAGUCUCAUAUUACUCUCCUUGGUUUUUCCAUAACAAGAUAUUUCGUCUAUCUGGCUAUUAUAAGAAUGUUUUCCACCAAUGACACGAGACAAACUUAGCCCAUCUAUUUCUAGUAAUUUUUUUGUUGGCAAAUGUUAACAGUUAAUUUAUCAGGGACGAGAAUGUUAAUAGUAAAUAUUAAAACAUUGGGUCUCAUGCAUAUAACUCCUUCGGUGUUCCAACGUAUAUAACUCCUUUUGGAACAUUUUUCUCACAGGUAUACAAUUUUGCAAAAGAUCUUUGCUAAUUAUUUUUACUAGUCGUUGAACCACCAAAGUGAGGAUCAUAAAACUUGAUUAUCCAGGACAAGUAAUGCCAAGUUUAGUAAUUGAAAAUAACUUGUUCAUUUCGUAUAAUUUGGUUUAUCACUCUACUGCUUAUUCUUUCUGGUAUAAGAACGCUGUUAAAUUUAUAUCGAGAGGGAAAAUCUAUCUUGUUUGCCCAACAAGUUUUUUGAGAGAGAUUAAUUACCUCUAUACGACGGUAAAAUUCUUGUACUUAUAACAUGGUAAUCUAAAAAACAUAUAGUAUUGAAUAUUUUGAUUCGUUGAACAUAUAUAAAAAUAAAAUCCCAAAUGAAAUACCUGUUUUGAAGAUAAUGUGUUAUUUUUUCCAAAGACAGUGGAGCCAUACGUCCAUACCUUUAGAAUGACUUAGCCAAGUGCAUGCUACUUGCUACUUGGGCAGUUAUUUAUAUAGUAUGUUUUUUGUGUGAUCCAUGCUACCCUAUGACAUUGCGGCUGUCAGAUUAAAUAAAUGUUGCAAUACGACCCCAUCACCGACCUCUGCAACUUGUGGACAUGAAAUGAAUUGUGUCCAUUAAGCACGAAUCACAAGUUUUUUUUUGUUUCCAAGCAAUUAAGGUCACUCAGAAUCUUCCCAUUCUUUAUUCUAUCCAAUCUCCUUAAACAGUUAAAGACCCAAUUCAAGUCCCAACCGAAAGUUUCUUAUGUCAAGCUUUUGAAUAAAAAAGAAUAAGGAUAAAGGAUUCAUUAACUUCAUUGCUAAGGUCCUCCUAUCACACAUCGCAUUUUUCAAGAAACUUUUAUUUUGCUAUCCGUUUUUUAUAUGGAUAAUGCAUUUCUUGUACAAGAAAAAAAUUAUUCGUGGGAUGAUGCAUUUUUUAAUAAAUAAAUGGAUAAUUCAUUUGGAGUAUAUGACCAUAUACUUUUUUUUCUCUCAAUGUUUCCCAAAUGAUUAUGUUACAUCUAUGUUAUACUAUUCAUGUUAGACAUUCAAUGUUUCUCAUACAUCGUCUAAAUAUCGUUAUAUUCUAGUCUCUUUCGUUAGAUCUAACCUUGUUGGUUGACUAGACAUAUACUCUUUUCCGUUACUAUUAUAGACAACAAAUUACAUUUCAAAUUUAUCGAAUAACAAAUGUAUCUGAUUUAUUAUAGGUUAGACACAUUAGUUAUUCAACAAAUUUAAAAAAUAAAGUCUUGUUUAUAAUAAUGAUUGGAAGGAGUACUAUAAAUUGUGUCUUGCUAACGACGGACUCUGAUACACUCUUUAAAAAUUAAGAAAUUAUUCCUUAAAAAAGUCAAAUUCUUCAAUUUCCAAUGCAUUGAAAGAUGGGUUGCCUACUGCAACACCCUAAUCAUUUUUAAAGAGAAAGAAAAUGAGUACUCGCGGGGCGGGGGCUACAGCCAAAACCCUUUAGGAAAACAAAAGCAAGAAAAAAAGAUUAAGAGAACGACCAACCUAAAAGCGGAAGGUACGACAACAAUGACGACUAGCGAGGCGAACAGUUGGAUGCACCUACCUUAAACCCUUUGAUAGGCUCAGUUUGCUGUUGCUUUAUCUAGCCGUUCUUCUUCUUCCUUGGGACCACCAAUUAAAAUUGUCCAGUUUAAACAUUUUAAGCCAUGUUAGCCUAGGAUUCCUUCAGAAAUUAUUGUGCCUCAAUAAGAACUAGCUCUAAAACUUGCAUGUCAUGAAUAAUAUUUGCACUAAAGUUUGACAAGUUAGAGUCUAUCAUAAAUAUGGAUAUACCAAAAGUCUCUCGAGCUAAAGUAUGUGUAACAUGAUGUCCUAAAGAUAGAAAGUCUGCUACUAAGUCAAAUGGAACCAUGAUAUUCCAAGAAGGGGUAUCUUGACAAUAAUCCAGAUCAAUGGCUGCUUCACUCCAAGGAUGAACGAUGUUGGACCACCCUCUGCUUCUCGGCCAAAGCAGAAUCCUCAACCUGCAAUGGUUGUACAUGGUGACCUGUUGCAACAAAUAUAUUAUGAACCUCUUCCUCAUGGUUUAAAACAUAUCCCACAAACUCACAAGUUGUAACUUCCUUAGACCAUAUUAUAUCAUCAAUAAGAGGGUCUUUUUCUACAACAGUUUUACUACAACCUGCAACAUUGUGUGGUGUACCUUUAGGUGGUAUAAUCACCUCAUCAACAGUCUUAAUAAUUGAGGCAGUAGGAUUAACAACCUGCACCAUAGGAGGAAUAUGAUACUUACAAUUCUUAAAGGAAUGUAUAAUAAUCUUACAUGAGUCUAUAGAGAUCUAUGCUCUGGAUUUCAAUGGGGCCUCCCACAAGUGGGAGGUGGGAUUGGACCCUUAGAUUAGUCGGCUCUUGGGGCUGGAUAUCAGGGUUUUUUUAUUUUUAUUUUAUUUUAUUUUUUAAUAAAAAAACUUGAGUUACAAAAUGUGGUAAGUUUCUCAUACUCAACAUCCACAUAAAAAUCAAAAUCCUUCUUUUCAAUGAGGAUUCUUUCACGCAUAUCUGAGGUUAGAUAAACCUCUAAUAGAACUCUUGCAAAAUGGCCGAAAGUUCUCUUCUUAGUUGCCUUAUCAAGAGUCAAAUGAGUUCUUAGAGCCCCUGGAAUUUCAAACAAUGUUAUUGGUCAUCGAUAUUCUCGAGCAAGACCAUGAAGGUGUUUCCAUGUUUGAGAAAUGGAUUGUUGUACUGUGUAAGGGUUGAAAUCAGCAAUCAAGCAAUGAUUUUCAGGAAGCUCAAUGAGAGAUUCCAAGAACCAAUAGAUCGAAUUGCACUAAGAUCAUUCAAGGAUGAAAAAACAAAUACAAAGUAACCUUUACAUAAUGAGAUGAUCACAGAGUAUUAGUUUUCCAAAAUUUAGGAUUUUUGGCUUCAAGUAUGGCAUACAGACUGGGAGGAACCCUUUAGGAGAGUGAGCCUCCCGUGAAGGACAUUUUGACAGUCUAAGACACUUGCCAAAUAUUUGUCUUUAGAAAUUUUGAUCGAGAUUUGCUCACCUUUUUGACAAGGUUUAGGCAAUUGCGCAGUAAAAAUGUGGCACGAGUUGGUUAGAGCUCGAGAAAACAAUUUAGUUACCAGUGGAAGUGAUCACACAUCAAAACCGAAAGGUAACAACACAUAAACCUCAACGCAACAAACAAGCAGUGGCAGACCCAUGUCUCUAAUCAAUGGAACAACGACGCAAACCUAGCAACCCAAAACCAUAUCAAAAGCAUGAAGAACGCCUAAAGUUCAAGGCUGAUAACCACUUCAUCAUUCUCUGGUCACCAAUAUGACCACUAAAGACUAUCACUCUAGUCAUCACUCCAACCACCACUAGCCGUUGCUUCGACCGUUUUCAAUCGCCACUUUGACCAUCACCAACUACCACUUUGAUCAUGAUUGGCCACUACUUUGACCACCGCUCCAUUCAUCGUUGAUCACCAAUUUGACCACCAUCAAGUACUACUUUCCCUAUCGAAAACCACCACUCUUGCCAGCGUUGGUCACCACUCCAACCACCGUUAAUCACCACUCAAUCCAUCUUUGAUCUCCAACAUGACUACCAUUAUGAGAACCACUUUGCCAACCUUUAACCACCACUUCGAGUGUUGUCAAUCACCACUCCAACGACCACUUUGAACACCUUCGACCACCACUUCGAGUGUUGUCAAUCACCACUCCAUGCACUUAUAAUAAACAAUGUUGCUACCAUUUAACCGUCGGCAACCACCACUCCGACCACCCCGACCAUCACUAUGAUCAUUGUCGAUCACAGCUCUGACCACUAUUGAUUACUAAUCGGACUGUGGUUUGCCAACUACUACCAUAUUCAACCACCAUUGUUAAAAUUACUACUAAAUUAAAACUUAUAUAAUUGUAAUAUUUUAAUUAUUUUGCAAACCUAAUGAUAUAAAUUAGGGCUGGACAAAAAAACCGAAUCCGGCCCAAUCCGUCCGGUCCGAUAGGCCCGCGGGUAGACGGGUCGGUUCCGCGGGCAACUCGGUUUAAGCAGUUUAAAGAGACACGGUUAAAGGUGGAUAGUGUUGGACGGUUCGGGUGGGGAUAUCCAAUCCAGCGGAACCCAUCACCGACCGAUAAUAGCUUUUAUUAUUAUUUUUUUCUUCAGCAUUUUAGUAUACUAGGGUUGAUAUAAAACCUUUUUUUCUUCUCAUUUCUAAAUCUCCUUUCUCUCUCUAAAUUGAAGCCGCCACCCACCCCUCUCUCUCAAGAACCACAACCUGUUACCAACAACUAUCCCUCCUUCUUUUCAAGCUUCUACUUCUACACUACCCAUCUCUCUUUUCUCUCUUCCAAAUUCUUUCCUCAUUUUCUUCUUCACAAUUCUUCUAUUUCUUCUCCAAACCCCAUCAUAUGUGUGACAUGAGUUUCAAAACUCUUAUCAUUUGACUCAAAUAAUAAGAUAAUCUUCCUCCACAAAGUAGAUCUGACAUGAGUUUUCCAAUUUUGAUGUUCUUGUUUGUUGUACAACUUAAAAUUUGAUGUUUUAAAGUUUCUUUUUGUUUGUAAUUUUUGUAUAAUACUACUGCUGGUUGAUGAUCUUUAUCAAUGGUAUAUUUCAGAAUUUUUGUCUAUGACUUUGAAAUUUGGCUUUUCAGCGUUUUUGUUCCUUCAUAUCCGCAUAAACCGAACCGCUAAACCGUGUUUCGACCAACCCGUCACCCGCCGUAACCGAACAAUCAAAUGGACGGAAAUGGGUUCUAAUUUAUAAACCGC
rnacentral:lncRNA from 1 species